rnacentral:tRNA from 1 species
GUUUUGGUAGCUUAACUAAAAAGCGUCGACCUUGUAAGUCGAAGAUCGAGGGUGCAAGCCCCUUCCAAAAUA